GACGAACGCUGACGGUGUGCUUUAGGCAUGCAAGUCGAACGAGAAAGCCCUUCGGGUGAGUAAAGUAGGCGAACGGGUGAGUAACACGUGGGCAACCUGCCCCUCCGCAGGGGGACGAACCGGAGGAAACUCCGGCUAAUACCCCGUAACGCUUUCAGGGUCGCAUGAUCCUGUAAGGAAAGGUAGCUUCGGCCAUCCGGCGAGGGAUGGGCCCGCGGUGCAUUAGCUAGUUGGUGGGGUAACGGCCCACCAAGGCGACGAUGCAUAGCUGGUCUGAGAGGAUGAUCAGCCACACUGGGACUGAGACACGGCCCAGACUCCUACGGGAGGCAGCAGCCAGGAAUCUUGGCAAUGGGCGAAAGCCUGACCCAGCAACACCGUGUGGGUGAUGAAGGCCUCGGUCGUAA
rnacentral:rRNA from 1 species